rnacentral:lncRNA from 1 species
AUAACAUUUUCAGUUUGGGAGUUAGUGGGAAAAUGCAUUUCUUCGCCGUGCCAUAUCCAUGUUGUAUAACAUCUUAGGAAACCAUCACAGAUAAGAUGUUCUCUAAUUUGAUAGUUGCGUUCAACUUUCUCCCAUUCAAACAGUUCACACAAGGACAUCUAAACUUCACUUCAUCAUCACUUCUCCCCUCAUUACGUUGCGCAAAUUGUAUAAAUUCCUCUACACCUCUCUCGUACUCAACACUAAUAC